GAUGAACGCUAGCGGCAGGCCUAAUACAUGCAAGUCGAGGGGCAGCGCGGUAGCAAUACUGGCGGCGACCGGCGCACGGGUGCGUAACACGUAUGCAACCUACCUUCAACUGGAGGAUAGCCCGGGGAAACUCGGGAUUAAAUACUCCAUAACACAGGGAUCCCGCAUGGGAAUAUUGUUAAAGCUACGGCGGUUGAAGAUGGGCAUGCGUUCGAUUAGCUAGUUGGUGUAGGUAACGGCUCACCAAGGCUACGAUCGAUAGGGGGUCUGAGAGGAUGAUCCCCCACACUGGUACUGAGAUACGGACCAGACUCCUACGGGAGCAGCAGUAGGGAAUAUUGGUCAAUGGGCGCAAGCCUGAACCAGCCAUGCCGCGUGCAGGAAGAAGGCCCUCUGGGUUGUAAACUGCUUUUGAUAGGGAACAAAUGCCACUUGCGAGUGGAGCUGAGUGUACCUAUAGAAUAAGC
rnacentral:rRNA from 1 species